rnacentral:rRNA from 1 species
GGACUACUAGGGUAUCUAAUCCUGUUUGCUACCCGCGCUUUCGCGUCUCAGCGUCAGGAGUCGCCCAGCUUGCUGCCUUCGCCAUGGGUGUUCCUCCAGAUAUCAACGCAUUUCACCGCUACACCUGGAAUUCCACAAGCCUCUGCGACCCUCUAGCUUGCCAGUAUGCGCAGCAGAUCAAGGGUUGAGCCCUUGAAUUUCACCACACACUUAACAAGCCGCCUACACGCGCUUUACGCCCAGUAAAUCCGGACAACGCUUGCACCCUACGUCUUACCGCGGCUGCUGGCAC